rnacentral:rRNA from 1 species
GACGAACGCUGGCGGCGUGCCUAAUACAUGCAAGUCGAACGCAGUGGGGACGGGUGAGUAACACGUGGGUAACCUCCCAUCAGAGGGGAUAACACUUGGAAACAGGUGCUAAACCGAUACUGAUGGAUGGACCCGCGGUGCAUUAGCUAGUUGGUGAGGUAACGGCGCACCAAGGCCACGAAGCAUAGCCGACCUGAGCGGGUUAGCGGCCAAACGGGGACUGAUACGCGGCCCAGACUCCUACGGGUGGCAGCAGUGGGGAAUCUUCGGCAAUUGGCGAAAGUCUGACCGAGCAACGCCGCGGUAGUGAAGAGGGUUUUCGGAUCGUAAGACUCUGUUGUUAGAGAAGCGGUAUCUAACCAGAAAGCCACGGCUAACUCCGUGCCAGCAGCCGCGGUAAUAC